rnacentral:lncRNA from 1 species
AAAACCGACGCGACCCGAGCUGGGCUGCGGAAAUGGCGCCCAUGUCCCGGCUCCGGCCAGGUCGUGAUCAGGAGACAGACUGAGGAGCCUCUCCCCACCGCAAUCCCUUUAUACUGGGUAGGGGUUCGAAGGCACAGGGACAGAGUAUACAGGACACUGCUUGAGGCAGCGCGUCCACCCACCAUCUGUGCGACCUCAUCAAGUCACCUCUCUGAGCCUCAGUUUCCCGGUAUAAUGGAAACGGCAAUUUUAAAUGACACGUAAGUGCCUGGCACUCAUUGAGCUCAUCAAAUGAAGAGCCCCGUCUCUGGGCCCCCUUGCCCCUGAGGGAAAUGCACACACAAACCUAGAAAAUGUGCUGUAAUGCACAAUGUGGGACAGACCCAGUCACUCUCCUUUCAUUCUUCUUCCAUCGAAUAUUCUGAGGCUUCGGCGCCAGCCCUUUGCCGGCGGAUGCUGCCGAGAUGAAGACAGCAUGCUCGGCCUGGUGAAGCCAAUAAAAGAGCAGGCUCCCCUCCUGGGGCCAGGUGUCACCACAGAAGCAGGCCCUGGAAGAUGCCAGGAGCCAGCCAGCCCAGGGCCCUGUCCUACCCCCGGCCCUUCCGCGGGCGAGAGCCCAGGAUCUCCAGGUCCUGCCCUGCACUUGGAGAUUUGCUCCCUAACAGGUUUUUGGUUUUGUUUUUUUGAAUAGAGGCGGGGUUUUGCCGUGUUGCCCAGGCUGGUCUCAAACUCCUGGGCUCAAGCAAUCCUCCUGCCUCAGCCUCCCCAAAUUCUGGAAUUACAGGCGUGAGCCACAUGCCCAGUCUGUUGUUUUUCCUUUCUUUUCUUUUCUUUCUUUCUUUCUUUUUUUAGAGACGGUCUCUCUUGCCUCACUUUUUUUUUUUUUUUUUUUGAGACAGUGUCUUACUCAGUUCACCCAGGCUGGAGUGCAGUGGCGUGGUUUUGGCUCACUGCAACCUCUGCCGCCCAGGUUCGAGCAAUUCUCCUACCUCAGCCUCCCGAGUAGCUGGGAUUACAGGCACCUGCCACAGCGCCCUGCUAAUUUUUGUAUUUUUAGUAGAGACGGGGUUUCACCAUAUUGGUCAGGCUGGUCUUGAACUCCUGACCUCGUGAUCCACCUGCUUUGGCCUCCCAAAGUGCUGGGAUUACAGGUGUGAGCCACCACACCUGGCUCGCCUCACAUGUUUUUAAAAGAUCCAGUGUCCUGAUGGCUCUUGGUGCUCUUCCCAGAUGAUGGUAAAAUGCUCAGUGUGGACCAAGAGAAGCCUGACCCUGACAAACAUCCUUUUUUCUUUACACAUCUGAAUUUUGAUGAGCUCUGAAGGGAACUCGAUUUCUCCGCAGCCGUCCUGAGUUCUGUGGUGCUUAGUGUCUGAUGCCUUCAUCUUCCUUUAGUUUCAACACUGUGUAUAACUUAGUCCUCUCCAGGACCUGUCCCCCAGCUCUGGGGAGGGACCAAAGCUGUACAGUAGGUGAAUAGUGAGUAACUGGAUGAAGUGUUCUUUUGUCUCUCUGAAUGCUCCCCAGAGCCAUAAGGAAUUAAUAAUCUUGGCUACUGGGCUGGGAGCAGUGGCUCACACCUGUAAUCCCAGCACCUUGGCAAGCCAAGAUGGGAGGAUUGCUUGAGGCCAGGAGUUCGAGACCAGCCUGGGCAACAGUGAGGCCCUGUCUCUACAACAAACAAGCAAACAAACAAACAAGAACAACAAAAAAACUCAGCUACCACUUCAUGAGUAUCUAUGCUGCGCCAGGGACUACUUCAGGUACUAAAUUCAUGCAUCUUAUAUAGAGACGGGAGCACGGUAGGGGAUGGCAGAGACAGGUCACUCAGGAAGUUAAGCCAAGGCCAGGUUGGAAGUUAAGCCAGGCCCUGCCGCUGGGUGAACUACACAGGCAACGAGCAUUCCACCCUGCCCUGCUGGGUAUGCACAGUCUCAGUGUGGUAUUCCUAGUGCUGCCCGAGCAGGUGCCAGAGGCACCUUGGGGUGGGGUUAUCAUUCUGGAAGCUAGAAGGACCAGCAGCUCAGGCAGGGUCCAGUUCCUAUUGAUUCUACCCUGAAAUGUCCCUCAAUUCCCUCGACGUCUCACCAUUUGUCCCUAGAUCACCACACAGAGUCCUUCCUUGCCAACUGGCAGUACUCCGUCUCAAAAAAAAAGAGAAAGUCAACACUGGAAC